CACACCUAGGGAGAAAUAAAAACAAUAUCAUUAAUGCUUGUUUCGACAUCUGCAUCUUUGUAUAUGUUUAUUAUUUACAGGAUCAGUACCUCGUUUCAAAUGACUGUUCUUAUUCUUUCCUUAUUCAAAUGAUGUUUUUCUUUGUAUCUGUGUUAGUUUCAUAGAUUACAUUACUUUUGUUAAAAAAUAACACUGGCAUAUAUAAUCCUAUCACGGGGGGGGGGGCGGGGGAGAAGAUACUAAACGGUGAUAGCAGAAAAAUGGCUAAUUCCUCAAUGAUGAACAAACAUGAACUGGAUACCUGUGAAGAGCAGAAAGUACUGUGGUAAACGCCAUCAACAGCAAGACUAUCUCUGAGCAGUCUGUAAGCUGGCUGGAAAGAUGAGAUGUACAUUUGAAAUGAUGAGCAAAGCUAAGGCAGUACGGGGAAAAUGAUAAACAAGUGAUCUGGAUGUUACAAGCAAUGAGAAGAGAGGAGGUAUGGUUCUAGUUGGCCAAGAAAAACAAAGGCUGUCCUGGCCAAGAACAGCAGUAUCUAAAGCACGGUAGAAGUGCUCAAGGGACAGGUGGGUGUGUCUGGAUGGCUUUGGUGCUGACGAGGACCAGGACAUUAAGGCUAAAGAACUGAUGGGUUGGGCCACGGCAAAGAGCAUCACAAAUGGCAGGCAACAGAGAUGAAGUUCCUGUGAAGAGGGCAAGACACGAACCCCAAGGCUCCAAAUCCUCACCUCCAAAGAAUGGGAAUAAAAGCAAAGGACAGCCAUGGACAAGUGGUAUUUUAUGAUGUUAACAGAGCACUGGAAAGGCAGGGCAUCUAAGGGCCUCUUAACCUUGUAAACACUCAGCUCCUGAGAAGCCACAACCACUUCGGUGAGUGAGACUGUGAAGCUGAAAGCCUUCAAAGACACAAUACAGACUGCAAGAGAAGUCCUAUAUGGUAAAGUCUCAGCUUAGCAGUGGACAGGUGUGGAAGUCAACAGAACAGGCUGCCUCUCCUUUCGCUGUGUUCCUGCCGCAAGUUCAAGUUCUCAAAGUGAUUAACAUAUUUGGCUCACACCAUCAAUCUUUAAGAGUGGUUCUGUGAUUGAUUGAUUGAUCCAUUAAAGAAACUAUAGAAAGG